ACACUGCCAAUAAAAAUAUGGAGUGGAACCAGAGUGGAAAAAACAGCCUCCGUGGGAACGCUGUCAGAGGUGCUUGGGCUGGCAAAGGGGAAGGGUGUCUGUGGCUCUGCUGAUGCUAAGGCACUUCACAGGGGGGCAUUAGUUCAACGGGUUUCAGUGAAAGGAACUAGCAUCACAGAAAAACUCCCUGAACUGCCAUGCACCCCUACUAUCAUUG